rnacentral:miRNA from 2 species
AGGUUGGGAUUUGUCGCAAUGCU